GACGAACGCUGGCGGCGUGCUUAACACAUGCAAGUCGAACGAAGUGGCGAACGGGUGAGUAACGCGUAAUCAACCUGCCCUUCAGAGGGGGACAACAGUUGGAAACGACUGCUAAUACCGCAUACUGAAGAGGGGGAUUGCGUCUGAUUAGCUAGUUGGAGGGGUACAGGCCCACCAAGGCGAUGAUCAGUAGCCGGUCUGAGAGGAUGAACGGACACAUUGGGACUGAGUCACGGCCAAGGCUCCUACGGGAGGAAGCAGGGGGGAAUCUUCCGCAAUGGACGAAAGUCUGACGGAGCAACGCCGGGUGAGUGAUGAAGGCCUUCGGGUGGUAAAGCUCUGUUAAUCGGGACGCGGUACCGGAAUAGAAAGCCACGGCUAACUACGUGCCAGCAGCCGCGGUAAUAC
rnacentral:rRNA from 1 species